CGGGGUGUGCUCAGCUCACAAACCUGUUCCUCACAGUGAACCCAAAUAAAUCCUUCCGAUAGAUCAGGGAGUUGGAGACGUUCUCAGUAGCGGAGCGCUGCGGAGAUGAGCGUAACCUCACCUGCUGCCCAGCCAAAUGAAAACGGGGAGGACAAAAAGAAAAACCAUCCCGGAUAGCAACGUUCCAGAUACAAAGACUGUCACGGGCCAGUGCGAGUUGGCAAAAUUGUAUGUAAAUGACGGCAGUUUUGUCCGCGGUGGCCCUCUGCUAAUCCCGGAGAGAAAAUCUACUUAGCCGGGGAAGUUCUGUCUGAUUUGGUUAACAGUGCCCGAAACGAAUCUAUUAAUAAUUUAUUACGUCCAGGGAAACACCGUAUCUUUAAUGCUACAAUGCCGAAGGGGAGGGAGGGGUCACGCACCCGCUCGACGCCCGGAGCGCGACUCGCGCGGGGUCCCGUCCGCUCGGCGAGGGCGCCCGGGGCUGCGGGCCGGAGCUGUUCCCGCACGGCGCUUCCCCGCUCCUCUGCGGCGGCGCUUCGGACGGGAGGCGCACGGCGCGUUGCGGCGGCGAACUGUCCGUCCUUCUGUCCGUCCGUCCGCCUGCGCGCAGAGGCGCGGGCGGUUCACGGACCGCGGUCAUCCCGCGGCGCGCCCGGCUCGCAGUCCCGCACCGGGACGCGGGGGGAGGCC
rnacentral:lncRNA from 1 species